AUGGAAAUUCAGUAAAAAAGGACAUGUUUAGAUCAAAAUAUCAAAAAGAUCAAAAAUACCAAAAAGAUUCAAAAUACCAUAAAGAACGAAAACUCCAUUUUCCAGGGAAACCUGGACAAAAACUUAAGUUGUGGUAGUUAUCGAGUGAGUUUAUGACUGUUUUGUACCCGGCCUUGUUGGUCGUUGAAGUCCCUGACGAACAUAGAAGGUUCUGGAUUAACCUCAGUAUUUAGACUACGAGCUGUUAGCAACAGUGAUGGCUAUCUGUGAUAUUACACAAUAUUGUUUGUGCGCAGGCGUACAACUUUAGUAGUUUUUUGUUAUAAGUUUUUCAAUAAAUGUAGUAAUUGUCUUAAAAGAAAAA